UCUUGAACAUCCGUGGUCGUCGCCCUCCUUGCGGUUAGGCUAACGGCUUCUGGAGCAACUCACUCCCAUGGUGUGACGGGCGGUGUGUACAANGCCCGGGAACGUAUUCACCGCAGCAUANCUGAUCUGCGAUUACUANCGAUUCCGACUUCACGAAGUCGAGUUGCAGACUUCGAUCCGGACUGGGAUCGGCUUUCUGGGAUUGGCUCCACCUCGCGGUAUUGCAACCCUCUGUACCGACCAUUGUAGUACGUGUGUAGCCCUGGCCGUAAGGGCCAUGAUGACUUGACGUCAUCCCCACCUUCCUCCGGUUUGUCACCGGCAGUCUCCUUAGAGUUCCCACCAUUACNUGCUGGCAACUAAGGACAAAGGGUUGCGCUCGUUGCGGGACUUAACCCAANCAUCUCACGACACGAGCUGACNACAGCCAUNGCGGGCACCUGUGUUCUGAAUCCCGAAGGCACUCCCCGCAUCUCUGGCAGGGAUUCCCAGAACAUNUUCAAGGGCCAAGGUUAANGGUUCUUCC
rnacentral:rRNA from 1 species